rnacentral:lncRNA from 1 species
AAAUAACAAUGCCUACAGGUCACUUCAUUUAUGUGGAUUCAAUGUAAUACUCAGCAUGUUGCAAAUCAAGUUUUGUUUUUUGGGACUUUGUGAAAUUUUUAUUCCCAAAUACUUUCCAUGCCAGUUGGUUGAAUCCAUGGAUGUAGAAUCCACAGAUACAGAUACAGACACCUGACUGUACUGGGUGAAAAAAAAAGCUAUCAAAAUGGAGAACUUGAAAACGAAGAAAAGAAUUUGAUAAAAGAAAAAAGAGGCAUGGAAGUUCAUUUCAGAAGGUUCAAAUCAACUAAUAUAAAAUCCAAUAAGAGAGAAUAAGUAAAAUAAGGGUGAAAGAUAAUCAAAUAAAUACAAGAAUAGAAUAUUGCAAAAGUAAAGAAUGCCACAAAUCCUGUUUGGAAGUACCCAGCACCAUGAAUUUAAAAAGAUCCAUAUGUACACAUAUUGUGGAACUUAGGUACCAAAGCAAAUGCUACAAAGGAAGACGUUUCAGAUUGGCACUGGAGUUUUUAUCAAUAACACUAGAUUUAGCUGUAGUCCCAGCCACUUGAGAGGCUUGUAUGGGAGGAUGUCUUGAGCCCAGGAGAUCUGGGCUGUGUGUGCUAUGGUAAUCAGAUGCCCACACUAAGUUCAGUAUGAAUAUGAUGACUUCCAAAGAGUAAAGGGCCACUACGUUGCCUAAGAAGUGGGGCACUGGUCCAGUUUGGAAACCAAGUGGGUCAAAGCUCUCAUGCUGAUCACUAGUGGGAUAGCGCCUGUGAAUGGCCACUGCACUCCAGUCUGGGCAACACAGCAAAAUCCCAUCUCUAAAAAAACCAAAACCAAACCAACCCAAAACAAGCAAACAAACAAAAAACAACACUAGAUUUAGGAAGAAAACAAAGCAAUGGUUCAAAAUUCUGAAAGGAAAACAGUUUUGAAUCUAACAAUUUUGAAUAUCAACAAGUGGGAUAGAAAACCAUUUUUCACACGUGCAAAGGCUCAGAAACUUUACCAUGUACUUAUCCUUUAUGAAAAAAGGAUUUCACACUUGCUUGGGGCCUGUAGCCCCUUUGUUUUGGCCAAUUUCUCCCAUUUGGAAUGGCUGUAUUUAUCCAAUGCCUGUACCUCCAUGUAUCUAGGAAGCAACUAAUUUGCUUUUGAUUUUACAGGCUCAUAGGCAGAAGGGACUUGCCUUGUCUCAGAUGAGACGUUAGACUGUGGACUUUUGAGUUAAUGGUGAAAUAAGACUUUGGGGGACUGUAAGGAAGGCAUGAUUGAUUUGGAAAUAUGAGGACGUGAGAUUUGGGAGAGACCCGGGGCGGAAUGAUAUGGUUUGGCAGUGUCCCCACCGAAAUCACAUCUUGAAUUCCCACAUGUUGUGGGAGGGACCUAGCGGGAGGUAAUUGAAUCAUGGGGGCAGGUCUUUCCCAUGCUGUUCUGGUGAUAGUGAAUUAACUCUCACGAGAUCUGAUGGUUUUGAAAAUUGGGAGUCUCCCUGCACAAGUUCUCUCUUUGCCUGCCACCAUCCAUGUAAGACAGGACUUUGUCCUCCUUGCCUUUGACCAUGAUUGUGAGACUUCCCAGCCACGUGGAACUGUAAGUCCAAUUAAACCUCUUUCUUUUGUACAUUGCCCAUUCUCAGGUAUGUCUUUAUCAGCAGCAUGAAAAAGGACUAAUACAUUUUCUAUAUAUUCUUUAUUCAUUUUUCAUAAUUUAUACCUUUCAAGGAAUUUAUCCAUUCCAUCUAAGUUAUCAAAUUUAUGGGUAUAAAGAUGAUAAUAAUAUUCCUUUAUUAUAUAUACUUAUAAUAUACAUUUAACAUUUAUAGGGUCUGUAGUGACAUCUCCUCUUUCAUUCCUGGUUUUGGUUAUUUGGGCAUUGUCUCUUUAUUACUUGUCCAGUCCAGCUAGAUGUGUUAUUAAUUUUAUUUAUAUUUACAAAUAACUGCCUUUUAGGUUCUUUGAUUUUCUCAGCUGUUUGUUUCUAUUGCAUUGAUUUCUAUUUCUCCCAUUAUUAUUUCCCUCCUUCUUUUCACUUUAUUUUUCUUGCCUCUUAAAGGGGAAGCUGAGAUCACUGACUUUAAACAUUCUUCUUUUCUAAUAUAAGCACUUGAAACUAUAAAUUUUCCUCUAAAGCACUUGUCUAGUUUCAUUUUGUAAAUUUUAAUAGAUUUUAUUUUUGUUUUAUAGCUUUCCUUUUGAUGUCAUCUUUGACCCAUGGGUCAUUAGAAGAAUGAAGCUUAAUUGCCAAAUAUUUGGAGAUUUUCCAGAUUUUUUUGUUCUCUAUAUGGUUUAAAUUCUCCCAAGUUUUUGAGACUUUUUUUAUGAUCUAGUAUGUGAUCUAUCUUGAGUGUCCCAUGUGUACUUUAAAAAAUGUGUAUUAUGUUGCUGUUAGAAGUAGAGUUUUAUAAAUAUAAAUUAGGUUAAGUUGAUUGAUAGUGCUCCUAAAGUUUUCUAUAUCCUUACUAAUUUUUUUUGUUUUCUUGUUCUCACUGAAAGAAGAGUAUUGAAACUCUAAAAGUAAUCACGAAUCUGUCUAUUUAUUUUUCCAGUUGUGACAAUUAUUGCUUUGUUUAAUUUCAGGUCUCUGUCAAUGUUUUCAUAAAUUGACAUUUUCAUCAUUAAGAAAUUUCUUUCUUUCUUUCUGUUAUUAUUCCCUGUCCUGAGUCUAAUUUGACUGGUUUUUUACAGCCACUCCAGCUAUCCCUACACUUCAUGUUUUCAUGCUACAUUUUUCCAUUCUUUUUUUAACCUAUCUGUGUCUUUACAUAAUAGAAACUAACCCUAGAAUAAAUACUACUCUAAUCUGCCCUAAUAUAUCUUAAUAGCAAGCCUCAAAAAAAAUCAAGCUAAUCCCCAAGUAGCCUGUCAAAAUAAAAUUCAAAUAUUUUUUAAAGGAAGACGAUCGAGACCAUCCCGGCUAAAACGGUGAAACCCCGUCUCUACUAAAAAUACAAAAAAUUAGC